rnacentral:rRNA from 1 species
CCUACGGGUGGCUGCAGUGGGGAAUAUUGCACAAUGGGCGAAAGCCUGAUGCAGCAACGCCGCGUGAGCGAUGAAGGCCUUCGGGUUGUAAAGCUCUGUCUUCGCUGACGAAACCUGACGGUAAGCGAGGAGGAAGCCACGGCUAACUACGUGCCAGCAGCCGCGGUAAUACGUAGGUGGCAAGCGUUGUCCGGAAUUAUUGGGCGUAAAGGAUGCGUAGGCGGCCCUUUAAGUGGGGUGUGAAAUCCCUGGGCUCAACCCAGGAAUUGCACUCCAAACUGGAGGGCUAGAGUGCGGGAGAGGAAAAUGGUAUUCCACGUGUAGCGGUGAAAUGCGUAGAGAUGUGGAGGAACACCAGUGGCGAAGGCGGCUUUCUGGUCUGUAACUGACGCUGAGGCGCGAAAGCGUGGGGAGCGAACAGGAUUAGAUACCCUGGUAGUC